rnacentral:rRNA from 1 species
CCUACGGGGAGCUGCAGUAGGGAAUAUUGCUCAAUGGGGGAAACCCUGAAGCAGCAACGCCGCGUGGAGGAUGAAGGUUUUCGGAUUGUAAACUCCUUUUGUUAGAGAAGAUAAUGACGGUAUCUAACGAAUAAGCACCGGCUAACUCCGUGCCAGCAGCCGCGGUAAUACGGAGGGUGCAAGCGUUACUCGGAAUCACUGGGCGGAAAGAGCGCGUAGGCGGGAUAGCAAGUCAGAUGUGAAAUCCUAUGGCUUAACCAUAGAACUGAAUUUGAAACUGUUAUUCUAGAGUAUGGGAGAGGUAGGUGGAAUUCUUGGUGUAGGGGUAAAAUCCGUAGAGAUCAAGAGGAAUACUCAUUGCGAAGGCGACCUGCUAGAACAUAACUGACGCUGAUGCGCGAAAGCGUGGGGAGCAAACAGGAUUAGAUACCCUUGUAGUC